CUGUCGCAACAAGCUACUUAAUUGCGUCCGCAUUGUAUCCCGUCUCAAAUGUUAUCAAACUGCGUCCGCCACGUCUCCAUCGCAAAAAGGUCGUGGCAAAUAGAUUUUUUUUGCAUCCGCAAAAUACUCCCCGAUGUAAAUAAUAAUUUUUUAAGCCAAAAAAGAGUACGACUGAAAUAGAAUUGGCGGGGGGACGAAAAGAAGUUCUAAUUUUCUGGAGGGGAUGUUGCCCAAAAGCCGCAAAUCUCUGUCAUCGUUCUCCUAUCUCUUUCAUCGUCUCUCCAUCGUCUCCUACCCCUUUUUCUUUUGCCCUAACUUUUUUCAGCUGCUAAUCGAAGACAACGAGAGCCACAACGCCAACCACGGCCACAGGAAUCUCUCAUCGUCUUGACGUCGUUUCUUAUGCCUUUUCUUUUGCCCUAACUUUUUUCAUCUGCUAAUCGCAGUCAAGGAGAGCUCCAUAAUUAACGACGACCACGGCCACAGCAAUUUCCGACGAGACUACUACAGGGAUUUCCGACGACCACACCACGCCUUCGCUACCAAGGGCGGAACAUACAAGGGACUACAGUGGGCUGUAGCACAGGACCAGGACCAAUUUUGUGUAGCUGGACUUAAUUAUGUCUGGAGGUAUCUCAGUUUAGAGUUACAUUAUCGUUAGUUUAACCAAUGUUCAUUGAUUCAAUUUUUUGAAGUCUUUAACUUGAGAUUCAAUUCAGAGAGGGGGAUAAAAAAGGUGAGAAAAACUGUUAUGAGACUGACUUGGGGUAGCUUGAAUGGAAUGUAGAUAUAGCAUAUUGUGGGAAAUCCCUUUUAUUGCUUGAAUGGAAUGUAGCUAUAGCAUGUCUGGAGGUAUCUCAGCUUGGAGUUACAUUAUCAUUAGUUUAACCAAUGUUCAUUGAUUCAAUUUUUUGAAGUCUUUAACUUGAGAUUCAAUUCAGAGAGGGGGAUAAAAAAGGUGAAAAAAACUGUUACGAGACUGACUUGGGGUAGCUUGGAUGGAAUGUAGAUAUAGCAUAUUGUGGAAAAUCCCUUUUAUUGCUUGAAUGGAAUGUAGCUAUAGCAUGUUGUGAGAAAUCCCUUUGAUAAGCCAUGCCUAGAAGUUUUCAGCCCUUUUUCUAAUGUAGAGGUUAAAGUAUUUGCUUAAACUAGCAUCCACAAAUUGGGAUUAUUUAACCAUGUUCAUUUUGGCCUAUUGGGCAUUGAUGAUGACGUGGUCGGGAGAAAGUGAAAAGUUAUUCAUUCUAUGGCUCUUUUGAUUUUGCGUGAAUUAUAUUCAUCUUCUUGUAAACUGGACCCAAUGCCGUUUGAUGUAAGUGAUGUGUAUGGGGUUAUAGAUUUAUUAUAUGAUCUUGCACUUAGAAGUUAGAAUAUACAAACUUUGAUUUUUUACUUAACAUGUUACAAUUGUCUGGUUAAGGUUUGAAUUGCUGAAUUUUGUUAGAGAAGUCUAAAAUUGAAGUUUACUUAUGCUAACUUGUGUUUUAUGUGUUGCACAUAUCUCAUUCUUCUAUUCCUUUUCAGGUGCUCGAAGAAGAUUUAGAGGUGCAACCAUUGAGAUGAUGGAAUGGAGUCCACUUAUGUUGCAUUGUAUUGAUUGAUCUAAAAUUGCUAGGUUGAAUUUAGGAUUUGUAGUCUAUGUUGUUCUUUCAUAUCUAAUAAACAUAUUAUAUUAUCUUGGGCAAUCAAUUAUGAUUUUUUUUGGGAUUGAAUGAAUGACUGAGUUAAUUUUGAUAUGAAUGAGCGAAUGGUUAAUUGGUUCUAUAUGAGAAUGAGGUUGAAUGAA